UCUAGUGGUAAUGUCGUGGAGGUCACACCUGUUCCCAUCCCGAACACAGAAGUUAAGCUCCACAGAGCCGAUGGUACUCGGACCGCAGGGUCCCGGGAGAGUAGGACGUCGCUAGGC
rfam:Tumebacillus algifaecis strain THMBR28 chromosome, complete genome.